UCCACGAGGGCGUUGGAGUACUCUGGGUACUUGGCCACAACAUACUGCUCCACAUAUUGCAUUUCAGUCGGAGUUAUCGGUCCUGACCACCUUAGGUCCAGACCGUGCAGCGUAGAUAUGGCUUCAGCAACUAUAUGAGCUGGUCAAAAGGCGAAGAGAGAGAGAGGGGAUCGGUACCAGAAGUAGGAGAUGAAACCAAAGUGAAUACAGAACGAGCAGCUCUAUUUUUAUGAAAUCAUCGUCAACAACAAGGAGUAUGUGAUGUCGUUGCUGGAGUUAUAGCAGACGCAGCGAUAGAUGAUCAAUGAUGCUGCAGGUAAAGUCAACGGGAAGAUGUGAAGAGUGGCAACAAAAUGUAGCUGUAGUGGUGAUGGGGAUCAGAGUUUUAAAAUAAGAGCAGAGGCAAUCUAGAGAAGGUAAAGACGAUAAAUGAGGUUGCAUUGUGCAUCUUUUUUCUUGCAAAAUAAACAUGAUUCCGUCACUCAUGCUUUGGAUUUAUUAGGACCAAUGAUUAUAUACAAUAACGAUGAACCUAGACGCAGGUUGCUCGAAUCUUCCUAAGAGGGGGUUGUAGUAGAAUAUUUAGAGUUUGAAAGGGACAUGAAAAUUGUUUGGUUUUAAAAAUGUGGAACAAAAAGGGAGUGAUGGAAGGCCAGUUGAGAUUGUUUAUUGUUGUUUGAGUAUUGGUUAGCAGCAGCAAAUAGGAAUAUUCCUAGUACAAGUGUGAAAACUAAUAUACAAAUUACAGAUACCUGUUUGUUUGUGUUUCUGAUUGUAGACCUUACAUCAUCAAGACCAAGUCAAGAUAGCA